rnacentral:lncRNA from 1 species
UUUUUUUUUUUUUUGGUAGGAGUUCUUUCUAUAUUUUGGGUAUACUACUCCUUUCUCUGUUAUGUAAAUUGCAAAUAUCUUCUCCCAGUUGGUGUCUUAACUUGUGACCUUCUUUAUGUGUCUUUUGAUGGCCCAAAGUUUUAUUAUUAUUAUUAUUAUUAUUAUUCAUAUUUAGGGCUGCACCUGUGGCAUAUGGAAGUUUCCAGGCUAGGGGUCGAAUUGGAGCUGCAGCUGCCAGCCUAUGCCACAGCCAUGGCAAGACAAGAUACAGGCUGCCUCUGUGACCUAUGCCACAGCUUGCGGCAAUGCCAGAUCCUUAAUGCAAGAGGCCAGGGAUCGAAUCCUCAUUGUCACGGACUCUAUGCCAGGCUCCUUAACCUACUGAGCCACAACGAGAACUCCAGGGUGGAGAAAUAUUUGAGUGUCAACAAUAUAUACAGAUGGUAUACACUAAAGCAUAUACCAAGAUGCGAAAAGGCUCCAGAUAAUUUUACAUUGAUCUCAGGGGCUGGAGGUGUAGGCAGAUGGAUGUGCCAGGAGAUAAGCCUGGGAGAGCAGGUGUCUCCAGAUGGACCAGACAUUUCUUCCCCCAGCUGUGCGCCAAUUCUGCAUCCCAAAUCUGGGAUGCGCUGCCAGGGAACCAGCGCCAUGCCCAGUUCCCUCCACCCCUCUCUUCCUUCACCCCUAGACAAAUUACUAGCACUGGCUAAUGUUUGCUCUGGCUCAUAAAUGCAUAAUGCCUACCACACAAACCUCAACUGCCUGUAAUCGAGACUCACGCACAUGCAGAAAAGAUUGUGUGCGUGGAAGAUAUAAAUGACGCCGUCGCCUGGGGUUGCUGCAGGAAACGGGGCCACUGACAUGGAAAUUGCAUUCUGCAUUUACUACCUAAACAGCCUGCCUCCCUUUGCCGCCCUGGAAGGUAAAGGGAAUGAGCUGUAAAUAUUUUACAGUUGGUAAUUUGCGGGAGUAAAUCACAGUUCGUUUUGCCAGGGAGUGCAUGGCGGGAGCGGAGUUUCUUUUUCUUCUAGGGGUUAUUUGUGAUGUCAUCUUCCUGGUUUUCAUCCUGCAUUUAAUUUAGCCCUCAGCAUGUUUCUAUCUUUGUAGCGGGAGUGAUGUCGUGUCUCUUGGAUGGACUGGAGCAGUGGGGUAGGGUGGGGCGGGGAAGGGAGGCAGAAUUCCUGUAGAUGCUCCAAGCCUGAGCCCACUGGGUACCAACGCGCUUCACCCAGCCAUUUUUUCAUUCACUUGCUAAGCCAUUUCUGAUUAAUCACUGUAUAUCAGAUAGCUGCUGAGUCCUGGAAGAAGAAGAUCAAUAUUACCCAUCCCUAUCAAGGAAUUCACAGCCUAUUUGGGAAAUUCCUAAUAAUAUCUAAAACAUACUCAUACCAAUGACUGUUCAAUAUUAAUAUUUAUUGAGAUUCCCAAGUGCUUAACAAGAUUAAACCCAUUGAACCCUGUGAACAAUCCUCUGGGGUAAAAAUGACUUUUUUGUUUGUUUGUUUUUAUUUUUUAGGGCCACACAGGCAGCAUGUGGAGGUUCCCAGGCUAGGGGUCAAAUCAGAGCUAUAACCUCGGGCCAACACCACAGCUCAAGGCAACACCGGAUCCUUAACCCACCAAGGGAGGCCAAGGAUUGAACCUGCAUCCUCGUGGAUGCCAGUCAGAUUUGUUUCUGCUGAGCCGUGAUGGGAACUCCUGAAAAUUACUUUCAUCCCUAUUUUACAGAUAAGGAAACUGAGGGACAGGGUUGUUCGAGGUCACACAACUGGCAGGAUUCCACUACAAUAGCUCCUUUGACCCCAUCCAUGCUACCUUUUGAUAGGUGAACAAGCAAGAGGAAGAGGGUUAAUUCUGAUGAAGUAUCUAUCCCAUUGGCUUUAUGAUCUGUGUGUGGUGGUGACUUCUACAAAAAAAAUCCUUUAAUUUCCAGUUCUGGAAAAUAAGCGCUAUGAUUUUUAUGAAAAAAGUAGGCUCAGAGAGUGACCCACCCAAAGAUACCCAAAUAGCAUGUCCCCAGGCUGAGAUUUGAAGCCAGAAUCUUCUGACUCUAUACCAAGCUCUUUCCAUGCUGUGGUGGGAUGAGGGUAGAUGCAGACAAAGAUCUCUUAACAGAGAAUAACAAACCCCUGGGCAUCUGGGAGGUGAAAAGGGGGCAGUUAGUCUAAGUGAUGAAGAUGAUAAAGAAGAUUUCAGAUAAGCAAGGGUUGUAAAGGCAACAGAGCUGCUGAAAUAUAACCACCGAUGGUUUGUUUGCCUAAGUUCUUACAGGUGGGUGUCAAGUCCUUCUGCAUCCAGCAGAGGAGGAGAGAUGCAGGGAGGUGGCACAGGAGAGGCUCAGGAAUUGAUGCCAUGAAGUCUUCCCUCCUCUCCCCAUCUGGGCUUGGAGGUUGGCACGUGAAGAGAGGUACCUGGUUCUACUUUCUUCUGCUCACGUUUUUUCUGUUUCCGAGGAAGGCACUUUUCCUGCCACCAUUGUGAAUAUUCCCAAAGCUGCUCAAAGGCAGGGGCUAAACAUGCUGUUUAUUCUAAGUGGAGGGUUGGUCUGAGCUACGUGAUCAUGCAUGAUGCCCCUUUGGGUUAUUUAAACCUCACACCCUUCAAUGUUGAGCUCUUGGCUUUUCCUUCGAGUUGUAUGCAUGCUUUGGGCUCCAUUAUUUAGAACACUGGUUAGCAACAAGAAACGUUUCCAGACAACUAUUAUAAGGGAGGCAUUUAUUCAAAGGAUAUAUGAGGUGACUCAUAAGAAAGAGUCUGUGAAUGGGCUUAGAAAGGGUAGGCUAUACGGGAGCUGGGAACACAGGCUGCCGGGGCCACCAAAGGGAUGGGUCAGAGUCAACGGUCUUUGUUUUCUCCUUCAUUUAAUUUGUCUUUUGUUCCUUAUUUAUCCCUUCUUCUUCUUCAUCUUCAUCUCCAUCUCCUUCCUCUCCUUCCUCUUCCUUCUCCUCCCCCACCUUCUUCUCUUCCUUCCUUCUCUCCCUCUUCUUCUCCUUUUCCAAACCACUCUACUAAAGAUCAAAAGUCCUGGCAGAAAACAUCUGAUUGGUUUACUUUAUUAUCCAAGUGAGAGACAGUCCCAAACCCCACAGAGUGGGACAGAGGCGAUGCCCUGAGUAUACAUGGGGGCCCUUUAAAGCAGAAGACCAGGUCAGAGGUGGCAUCCAAAAAGGGAUGCAGAAGGAGUGUGAAAGUAAGCCACACAGAGGAUGGCAGAGGAAACACCACUGCAAAAAAGUUCCGGGGUAUCCAAGGAUCAGGGAGCCAGGGGCCAGGGUAACUAGAAAGAAGUGUGAGACUGGGAGAGCAGGAGGAAAUUAGGGCAGAAAAGCAGCCAGGGCUGGAUAAUGUAGAGCUUCGAGGCCACUGUAAGAAUUCUGGAUUUUAUCUUGUAAUGAGAUGGGAACCCAUGGAUGGUUUUGAGGGGAAAGACAUGGCCAGCCUUAUACAUUUGGAAGAUUGCGAUGCUUGAUGUGUGGAGAAGAGACUCUAGGGGGUAAGUGUUGAAGGAAGACCAAUUAGGAGGCUACUUGAAAUCAUUACAGUGAGAGGCGAUGAUCUGGACCAAGGCAAGUGGGAUGGGGACAUGAUGACAGCUGAUGACAAGAGCAUGGGCAUGUAAACUGAACUGAAGGUGUGAGAGAAAGACAAGAAACAAGGAUGACCCCAAGGUUGCUGUGCUGUGUAAAAGGAAGAACAGAGCCAAGGCUUUCUGUGAAGAGGAAGACUCAUCAAAAAGCAAGGUCUGGGGAGUUGAAAAACAAGAAAAGACUUUGCUUUUGGACUCGUUCACUUGGAGAUGCUUCUUAGACAGCCAAGUGGGACUGUUGAAAAGGCAGCUGGAAUUACAAGUUGAGAGUUAAUAAGUCUGGAUUGAGAGCUGUCCACUGAAGAUCAGGAGACAAGAGGUGUUGAUAGCCUUGAAAGUGGCUGAGCUCAGAAAAGGAGUGGGUGAAAAUAGAGAAAAUGCCUGAGACCCGUGUCCUGGGUUCUCCCUGAGCCCCAAGUGAGAGAGCUUCCACAAAAGGAAUCUGCUGAUCCUUUAAUACGUGGCACCGGCACAGAAUGGUCAUGUUUCAGUCACUUACUAGAGUCAGACGAGUGAGUCUAAGGUGACAUCAACUUUCUGGCCCAUUGUUUUUUCUCAACCCCAUGCCCAUCACAAACAGUUCAAGCCUAGGGAUACAGUAGAGACUGGGAUGGGUUGGUGGGAGAGAGGCUGGGUACUCAAGCUUCCGGGAGGGCAGUCUGCUCCCUGACAUACUUAGAUAGUGUAGCCAAGCAGGACCCUGGGAAGUCUUCCCAGAGUGGCCCCCCACUCAUGUCCUCCACAUGCAUUUUUAUCUCUAGAAAAACUUUAGUCAAAGAAUCCAUUUAAUCAGAGAAGUGAGAAAAUACAGAGAAAAAGGAAAACUGUCAAGCAAGACAGAAUGAUAAGAGUUUAGCCAUUCAACGAAGUCAAGGACCUUUAGUUCCUUCUUCUUCAAGGACUAUAGAUAAUAGUCUGAGCUAUGUCCUUGGAGUUGCUUUGCAGAUACUGAAGGGCCCCCCUCUCCCCCAGCCACCCCACUGCACCAGGUAGAAAAAGUCAACUGCAUGCUGUUCACAAGCACAUAGACCCCAGACCAGUUGGAACCAGAAGGGUGAAGAUGCUGACUCCCAGUGACCUCACUACUCACCAGUCAGGAAAAUGUCCAUGAGCUGAACACACCCUGCUCCUCAAACACUGUAAGACUUCUCACUAACCCCUCCAGCGGGGGGCAUGGUCCUUGAGGCACUAGCUUGCUGGGUUCUCCUCUUUGGCAAUUACAGCUACUUUUUCUAUUUCCUCCAACUCUGUCUCCAAGUUCUAUUUGGCAUAGGUGUACAGAGGCAGCUGAGAUUUUGGCAGCCAGAGGAUGACUGGUAGUAGUAACAGAGGAAGGGAUGCCUUCCAACAAGAUAAUGCCAAGGUCUUAGAUGAUGCCUUAACUGAAGCCUGUUUAUCUAAACCAACUUCUCUUAAUGAGCAGCCCACCUAGUGGUCAGGCAUGAAACUCCCACUUCCUCUGAGGAGUUCUACAUCUAGUCAAAUAUAUAUAUAUAUAUAAAUAUUUAAAGUACAUUUAGGGCAUUUUAAAGAUCUAAACAAAUAUGUUUAAAAGCAUUCCAGUUGAGCUUUGUAUUUGCAGUGUGUAUGUGUGUGUAUGUAUUUAUCAAAUUUGCACGUUUUAUGAAAGAUGGGCUUUCUCUGUAUUGGCGUGGGCGUUGUCUUAUAUUUUAUCUACUUUCAACCCCUUUAAGUAGUUUUUAAUGCCACUGUUAGAAACCCAUGUUUGAAACUUUGGUUUCAGGGAUAAAAAGAAUAGGAUAUGCAAAUGGACGUGAAACAUUCAAGGGUAUUGCAUUUUAGAAGAUGUGGUCGUUAAGUGAAUUUAUUGCUUGGCAAAAUAGCGUCAGGCUAAUUAAGCUGAGAAGGUUUGGAUUAACCGUGUACCCAAAGACGCAUCCAUGGAGAUCAAAUAAAGUGGCCAGACAGAUUCAUUUGAAGGAAUAAAGUCAAUGCACUUGUAGAGAAAAAUCCUUGGGGAAGCAGGAGGUGGGCUGGAUAGAAAAGUACUUCCCAGCCAGGAUGGCCAGGGUAAUGCUGUCUGUCCUAGGAGGGCAGUAGAGGCCCGGGGGCGGGGGUGUCCCCCUCCCCUUCACAGCUUUCAUGGCUAUUCUGAGAGCUCCAGAGUAAGAUCUUUUCCUUCCUUAGGAGUUGUGAUUCCAUGAGAAGAAAACUGAGUGGGCAUCACACGGCUCCAAGUUCAGAUCUGGACCCUCCAACUUAUAAACGGUAACAAUGACGGUUCUCUUGCCAUUUACUUUAUGUCUUAGGCUUCAUUUUCCUCCCUGAUGAUGGUGAUGAUAAUGUCUUCUUUACCCCACGUGGUGAUGACUCAGUAAGGCCGUUAUAUAAACAUCCCCAACUCUGAGUAGCAGAGUUAAGGUUGGUAACUCCUCAAAGUCCUUCUCCAGGACAGAUAACCAGAUUGCACUUCCCAGCCUCCCUCCUAGUUGAAUAUGGUCAUGUGAUUGAGUUCUGGCCAACAGAACAUGAGCUCAAAUGAUGAGUUCACUCCCAGAUCUGCCCCAUAAAAAUUUCCCACUCAUGAUUCCCAGCUUCUUUCUUCUUCCACCUGCUGGAUGUUGACAUCCAGACAGGUCUUAGAAGCUAUGUGUUUACAAUGUCAGAGCCUCUAUCAGCCUGGAUUCCUGAGUCACUGUGUGGAGGAAUCCUUUUCUCCUCGUGCCCAAUGAUCUGCAAGCCCUUGGCGAUUUAUGUGAGUAAAAAGAUAAACUCCUACUGUAUUAGCCUGCCCAAACUGAAAUAGACAGAAACUGACACACUGAGUAAAUGAGAAAAAACCCAGAGAGAGUAAAUCACCAAACAUUAUACAACAGAGACAGCAGCUGGACAUGAAGUAUUGUUGGAUGGAGGUGGGAUGUAUUUGUUUUAUAUGUACCAGAUCUUGAAUGGGAUAAUGAGCCUCAUGCCGCCCAAGGGACAGCUGUUUCAAGGAAUGGUAUUUUACUUGGCAUGAUUUGUUACCAUGUGAGGAAAUGGCUAGGAAGAAAAUGGUAACAGCAGAGGAGAAAGAAAGAAAAACGAAUGGUGGUGGGACUGAUGAGAAACCCUGAGGCUUUUCCUUGUAGCAACAUGGAGAAUUCAAAGAACCACCUUUGGUGAGUCUGUAGGAUUCACGACAAAUGCCCCAGCAGGUAGGUAAUAUCAGAACUCAGGACCCUGGGCGAUGGUGAUGCCAAGUCCCUUGGAGGCCUUCGCGAUAAGAAAAAUCCUUGCUAGACUGAGCCAAGAGACCUUACAAACACUGGAUGUUAGCCUGACUUUAGGCUUUUAAUUGCCAUAGGCUACUUAUGGAAUGGUUACAUUGACCUGAAUCGAACCACUAUCUAUAAAUUAAGAGUGCUUGUAGGUGGGAUAUGCUUUUGUAUCACACAACUUUUUUCUCAUGUCCUUGGAAGAAGGGAAAUGAUACCAAAAAAAAAAAAAAAAGUAAUACUUUCCCGAAACAACCCAUGUUAUUGUGCUAGAGCCUUCUGAUUGGGGUCAGAGAGGAAUCUCUUGUCUGUUAAGAGACUAUAACCCUAGAGUUCCC